UAACACUAAUGAAUGUCUCAUAUUAUUGUUUAUUGGUGUAAAAUUAGUAAUUGUGAAAUUUUGCCCUAACAAACAAUAAUAUGAAUUACUUUUUAUUACUCCU
rnacentral:pre_miRNA from 1 species